rnacentral:rRNA from 1 species
AGUGAACGCUGGCGGUAGGCCUAACACAUGCAAGUCGAACGGCAGCACAGUAAGAGCUUGCUCUUACGGGUGGCGAGUGGCGGACGGGUGAGGAAUACAUCGGAAUCUACUUUUUCGUGGGGGAUAACGUAGGGAAACUUACGCUAAUACCGCAUACGACCUACGGGUGAAAGCAGGGGAUCUUCGGACCUUGCGCGAUUGAAUGAGCCGAUGUCGGAUUAGCUAGUUGGCGGGGUAAAGGCCCACCAAGGCGACGAUCCGUAGCUGGUCUGAGAGGAUGAUCAGCCAAACGGGAACUGAGACACGGUCCAGACUCCUACGGGAGGCAGCAGUGGGGAAUAUUGGACAAUGGGCGCAAGCCUGAUCCAGCCAUACCGCGUGGGUGAAGAAGGCCUUCGGGUUGUAAAGCCCUUUUGUUGGGAAAGAAAAGCAGCAGGCUAAUACCCCGCUGUUCUGACGGUACCCAAAGAAUAAGCACCGGCUAACUUCGCG